UGCAGUCGAGCGAUCUUCUUCGGAUAGAGCGGCGGACGGGUGAGUAGCGCGUGAGUAACCUGCCCUGUACACACGGAUAACAUACCGAAAGGUAUGCUAAUACGGGAUGAUAUAUGAAAGUCGCAUGGCUUUUAUAUCUCAUCUCCGGCGGUACAGGAUGGACCCGCGUCUGAUUAGCUAGUUGGUAAGGUAACGGCUUACCAAGGCGACGAUCAGUAGCCGACCUGAAGGGUGAUCGGCCACACUGGAACUGAGACACGGUCCAGACUCCUACGGGAGGCAGCAGUGGGGAAUAUUGCACAAUGGGCGAAAGCCUGAUGCAGCAACGCCGCGAGAGCGAUGAAGGCCUUCGGGUCGUAAAGCUCUGUCCUCAAGGAAGAUAAUGACGGUACUUGAGGAGGAAACCCCGGCUAACUACGUGCCAGCAGCCGCGGUAAUACGUAGGGGGCUAGCGUUAUCCGGAAUUACUGGGCGUAAAGGGUGCGUAGGCGGUCUUUCAAGCCAUAAGUGAAAGGCUACGGCUCAACCGUAAUAAGCUUUUGGAGCUGUAUGACUUGAGUGCACGAGAGGAUAGUACAAUUCCUAGUGUAUCGGUGAGAUGCGUAAAUAUUAUGAGGAAUACCAGUAACGAACGCGGCUCUCUGGACUGUGACUGACGCUGAGGCACGAAAGCGUGGGGAGCAGACAGGAUUAGAUACCCUGGUAAUCCACGCC
rnacentral:rRNA from 1 species